GACGAACGCUGGCGGCGUGCUUAACACAUGCAAGUCGAACGGAAAGGCCCUGCUUUUGUGGGGCGCUCGAGUGGCGAACGGGUGAGUAACACGUGAGUAACCUGCCCUUGACUUUGGGAUAACUUCAGGAAACUGGGGCUAAUACCGGAUAGGAGCUCCUGCUGCAUGGUGGGGGUUGGAAAGUUUCGGCGGUUGGGGAUGGACUCGCGGCUUAUCAGCUUGUUGGUGGGGUAGUGGCUUACCAAGGCUUUGACGGGUAGCCGGCCUGAGAGGGUGACCGGCCACAUUGGGACUGAGAUACGGCCCAGACUCCUACGGGAGGCAGCAGUGGGGAAUAUUGCACAAUGGGCGGAAGCCUGAUGCAGCAACGCCGCGUGCGGGAUGACGGCCUUCGGGUUGUAAACCGCUUUCGCCUGUGACGAAGCGUGAGUGACGGUGAUGGGUAAAGAAGCACCGGCUAACUACGUGCCAGCAGCCGCGGUGAUACGUAGGGUGCGAGCGUUGUCCGGAUUUAUUGGGCGUAAAGGGCUCGUAGGUGGUUGAUCGCGUCGGAAGUGUAAUCUUGGGGCUUAACCCUGAGCGUGCUUUCGAUACGGGUUGACUUGAGGAAGGUAGGGGAGAAUGGAAUUCCUGGUGGAGCGGUGGAAUGCGCAGAUAUCAGGAGGAACACCAGUGGCGAAGGCGGUUCUCUGGGCCUUUCCUGACGCUGAGGAGCGAAAGCGUGGGGAGCGAACAGGCUUAGAUACCCUGGUAGUCCACGCUGUAAACGGUGGGUACUAGGUGUGGGGUCCAUUCCACGGGUUCCGUGCCGUAGCUAACGCUUUAAGUACCCCGCCUGGGGAGUACGGCCGCAAGGCUAAAACUCAAAGGAAUUGACGGGGCCCCGCACAAGCGGCGGAGCAUGCGGAUUAAUUCGAUGCAACGCGUAGAACCUUACCUGGGUUUGACAUGGAUCGGGAGUGCUCAGAGAUGGGUGUGCCUCUUUUGGGGUCGGUUCACAGGUGGUGCAUGGCUGUCGUCAGCUCGUGUCGUGAGAUGUUGGGUUAAGUCCCGCAACGAGCGCAACCCUUGUUCACUGUUGCCAGCACGUUAUGGUGGGGACUCAGUGGAGACCGCCGGGGUCAACUCGGAGGAAGGUGGGGAUGACGUCAAGUCAUCAUGCCCCUUAUGUCCAGGGCUUCACGCAUGCUACAAUGGCUGGUACAGAGAGUGGCGAGCCUGUGAGGGUGAGCGAAUCUCGGAAAGCCGGUCUCAGUUCGGAUUGGGGUCUGCAACUCGACCUCAUGAAGUCGGAGUCGCUAGUAAUCGCAGAUCAGCAACGCUGCGGUGAAUACGUUCCCGGGGCU
rnacentral:rRNA from 1 species